UACCAGCUCUCCGAGUGGUGUGGAUGUUUAUUGGACCUAAAGCAUCCGUAGCUGGCUGGACAAGUCCCCUGUUAAAUCCACCGAUUUAAUCGUUGGAGUGCGGGGGAUACUGUUCGGCUAGGGGACGGGAGAGGCAGACGGUAUUUUCGGGGUAGGGGUGAAAUCCUAUAAUCCCGGGAAGACCACCAGUGGCGAAGGCUGUCUGCUAGAACGCGACCGACGGUGAGGGAUGAAAGCUGGGGGAGCGAACCGGAUUAGAUACCCGGGUAGUCCCAGCUGUAAACGAUGCAGGCUAGGUGUUUGGGCGGCCACGUGCCGCUCUAGUGCCGCAGGGAAGCCGUUAAGCCUGCCGCCUGGGGAGUACGGCCGCAAGGCUGAAACUUAAAGGAAUUGGCGGGGGAGCACCACAAGGGGUGAAGCUUGCGGUUU
rnacentral:rRNA from 1 species